rnacentral:misc_RNA from 1 species
AAGUCGUAACAAGGUCUCCGUAGGUGAACCUGCGGAGGGAUCAUUACUGAGUGAGGGCCUUCGGGCUCGACCUCCAACCCUUUGUGAACACAACUUGUUGCUUCGGGGGCGACCCUGCCGUUUCGACGGCGAGCGCCCCCGGAGGCCUUCAAACCCUGCAUCUUUGCGUCGGAGUUUAAGUAAAUUAAACAAAACUUUCAACAACGGAUCUCUUGGUUCUG